UAAAUCUUUAGUAAUAUUUUUUGUCCUCUAGGGUAGAAUCAGGGGGACUAAAUUUUUUUAUAUUUAAUUUCUAAAAUUCAAUAAACGAACCAGACUAGUACCUGGUUAGAUGAAACUAAAAAAAGCAGAAGUAAAGUUGUAUUUAAACUGUAAGGAUAUUGGCAGGCUUUAUAAAUUAUCUUUGGAGGUUGAGCAGUAAUUGAGAACCCCCAUUUUCAACUUUUAUUUUAGGUGCAUGUAUGAUCGUUUAUUUUAUUCUUAAGGAUUGUAAACAAAAGUUUUUACUUACUAAAAUAGAUAAAUACCUGAUUCAUGUAAAAGUGUAAGUUUGACCUACAAUAAAAAAUAUUAUGAAUCUUAAUUCGAGAGAUUUAGGUGAAAUUGUAAAAGACAGUAAAUUUCUCUUUAUGUGGGGUUGAAGUUUAUUUAGGAGCGGUACAA
rnacentral:rRNA from 1 species